rnacentral:rRNA from 1 species
GAUGAACGCUGGCGGCGUGCCUAAUACAUGCAAGUCGAGCGAACAGACGAUGAGCUUUCUCCUCUUACGUUAUCGGCGGACGUGUGAGUAACUCGUGUAUUACCUACCUAUAAUUCUUGGAUAACUUCGUGAAACCGUAUCUAAUACCGGAUAAUAUUUUUAACCGCAUUUUUCCUUAGUUAAAUACUGUUUUUCUUUCUCUUUUCGCUGUAUCCGCGCCGCAUUAGCUAGUUGUUAAGGUAACGGCUUACCAAGGCAACGAUGCGUAGCCGACAUGAUAGGGUGAUCGGCAAAACGGGAACGGAGAAACGGACAAGAAUACUACGGGAGGCAGCAGUAGGGAAUAUGCCGCAAUGGGCGAAAGCAUGACGGAGCAACGCCGAGUGAGGGAUGAAGGUCUACGGAUCGUAAAACUCUGUUAGUAGGGAAGAACAAAUGUGUAAGUAAAUAAGCACGGAGUGACGGUAACUAAUCAGAAAGCAACGGCUAACUACGUG